AUAUUCAUUCAGUAGACUAUUCUAGAAAUUUAUCUAGAAAGCUAUGAUAUUCAUUCUUCCAAAAAAUCUAAUUUAGAUAUUUUUCACACUCCAUUUAAAGUUAUUUUUUGGAAGCUAUCCCAAACUCAUUGCAUAAAAACUCAAAUGAAGCUUUGUACCAUGCCUUGGCGAAACUCUUAGCAGUGCUUUCCAAACUCCUCUGUCUUCUUUCAAUGAUGAAGAUUUUUUGUUAUCGAUUUUUCCUUGCCAAGUUAUAUGAUGUUGGGUCCUCGAGUCCCUCCUUUAUCUAAAUUCCUCCUCAACUUCAUUAUUCGGAGAUACACAUGUCAUGAAAAAGUUUGGAGAUAUAGCAUUCAAGAUUUUAGAACUUACUCUUUCUAAAGAAACUCUAUAACACAAGGAUAUUUCAUAUGUUUUAGCCUCCUCCUUUGAUUCGAUGACGAUUUGAUCAUUAAUUUUCUGUGAAGCCUCAAUAUCAUAAUUGGAUCCACCACUAGAUUUUCUAUCUAGUUCUUCAAUCAUACUAUGUCUCUCUUCAUCUGAAAUUAAGUCUUCUCUUUCAACUUCAUCAUUUAUUGAAUCUUUAGCUUCUUCAUCAACUUUUAAUAUUUUCUCUAAGCCAAUGGCUGAACUCAAUAUGAUAGAUGAUUGAUCAGAGACUUCAUGUUUUACUACAUGUCCCUUAGUAGUUUCUUCGAUAAAGUCAUCACUAGCAUAUGGAGUUGCAAACACUGUUUGCUUAGAAUCUACUCUAAUAUCCUCCACGUCCAGACUUUUAAUUUUAUUUUCAAAAUUUGCUUCUUUGAUUUCCUUGAUAACAGCUAUCACGUUUCCAGUUUAAAUGUCUUCAGCUUCCUCUUGAUUCUCAUCAGUGUCUUCCUUCUCCACAUAAUGCAUUUAUUGAUCGACUCUCAGGUUCUAAGCAUCUUUUCCAGCCUUCUUCUUCCUCAAUAACUUUUUCCGUAUAAGCCAUGUUUCUCUCCAUGACUUGAGAAUAUCUUCUUAUAUGUCCUGCUUUUCCACACCGAUAAACAUUUGAGAGGCUUCUUACUAUAACUAUUAAUAGACUCUUCCUUCUUUCAAAGAGAACUUGAACCACCUAAGAAUUGAUAGUGAGGAAUAUCUCUUACUUUUCCUUUAACAUUUCUCUUGUCAGCUACAAGAGCAUUUCCUUCCCUUUAUUUGAAAAAUUCACCAGUCAAUUGUUUGGCUAGUAACUCCUAUGAUGACAACAAAUUUUUAAAUUCCUUCAAGGAUGGUUGCUGAGCCCAUCCCUGAAUUGAUGUCACAAAGGGAAUAUAUUCUGGUUUCAAACCACGAAUGAUAAUUCUUCUUAUUCGUCCUUCAGAGAUAGCCUCAUUCAUAUUCAAUAAAGAACUCUUAGAACAUAAGUUCUUAAUCUUUAAAAAAUACUAGGCAAUAGAAAGAUUACCUUGACCGGUGUUUGCUAAUUCAUUCUCCAAUAUUUUAGCCGAGCUAUAUUUUUCUUACUGAAUAAUUGAUUGAGCAUCCUCUAUAUUUCAUGAGCUAAUUUGAAACUUAUGAUGUGGGAAAAAAGCUGGAGAAGAUAGACCUCUUCAGAAUAAACUCUGCCUUCUCAUUAGUCUGCUUCUACUUCUUAUAUGCACUACUAUUCUCCGAUUCGUCAUUCGGAGGACUUGUGUUACUCCUGUUAACAAUAUCCUAAAAAUCCUCAACCGCAAGAUAUGAUUUCAUUCAUGUCUUCUAUACCUUGUAAUUAGACUGAUUCAGCAACUUUAUUUUCAGUCCAUUAAUGCGACUGCUUAACUUCAUUCGGACAAAACAAGUUGAAACAACCACAAACCUGAUCUUAAAGUAAACACAAGUCAAUAUAUGACUUUGGCUUUAAUACCAUGUAGAGAAUAGCAGAAGAAAGGUUUAAUUAGAGAGGCCUUCUUCUAGCCCAAGAUCGUUAACGAAGAUCGAAAGAUUAAACUAAGAAGAGAAAGCUAUGAAAAUAGAAGAAAGAUAUUGGAUAAGAGAACUUGGGUAUAGAAGAAGACUACUUGAAUUGAUUUAUUUUUUUGGUUGGUUACAAAUGUACAAUAUGACUCCUUUUUAUACUUGUAUAUGGAUGAUUCUAGAUAUUCUUCUAGAUACAUCUACAAGAAAAAUCUAGUGAUCUUUAUCUUCUACUAUUCUAGAAUAUCUAGA
rnacentral:lncRNA from 1 species